AAGAAAACUAGUAUUGAAUAAAAGAGAAGAAUCGAGGGCGUGGGGUUGAGAGCUUCUCUCUCUAGAAAUAGAGAAAGAAUGCACUCCCCUGUUGUCUUCUUCCGAUUUUUGUACAAAUUCACCAAACUAUUGUUUGGUCUACCACUAUAAAUCUCAUAGAAACAUGGGCUAUCAGCCUGAUCUUUCUAAAUUCUUCGUUGGGGGUUCAAUACAACUAAGCACUCAGUUGAGUGCUCUCAAAACCAGCACUUCCAAGUAUCCAUGGCUGCCGGCUGAGCUGCUUCUUGACACGGUUUCCCAGAAAACCCAUAUUCUUCAUUGGAUCUUAAGCCUACAGUCCCACUGUGAAUCGAUCCACAACAGGUGUGACUGUAACUCGUCAGUGUGGUGGUUUGUUCGACCACAGACGUGGGUCCUUCCCACACAAUGAUGAGGGAUCCAUCUCAUCUGGCCGAGGUACACAAAGGAUCUGCCGAUUACCCCACCAUUUCACUUAUACCGAUUUUCACCUCUUCUGUGGUGAAUCGGCCCUACAACAAUCCACAACAGCUGAGCUUUUCAAGCUUCCACAUCCAAUCGGAGGGUUGGGAGCCGACAGUGAGGUAUCCCAGUUCGUGGUUUCACGGCAAUGACUAGGUCUAUGCUCGUGGUCCUGGUCACGGCAAGAGUACUGUCAAUCAUUUUUCGAUUCUGGAAUUUUACAGUUAGAAUCCUGCUCAAUUAGGGUCCAUCCCAAUGGAUUCUGGAUUUUCAGAGUUCAUGCGGAGCUCCAUAGCAGUGCUAAGUUCCACUCUGGUACUUACUAGAUGGAGAGUUCCUUACUUGAUCUGAACCGGCCAAAGAGUUCAUGCGGAGCUCCAUAGCAGUGCUAAGUUCCAAUCUGGUACUUACAAGAUGGAGAGUUCCUUACUUGUUUUGAACCGGCCGAAGACAGAAGAGCAAAAUUAGCAGCUCCAUCAAACUUCAGUGAGUUUACGGUCGAAGCCAAUGGAGAGACUGAAGACGAAGAUUGUUUGCACAAUUGAUCCUUCCACCAACACCAGGGAAAUGAUAUGGAAGUUGAUGAUUUAGCAUCCAAUUUUCUACUUAUAAACUUUGUAGAGACGUUAUAUAUUUGUACUGAAACAUUAUUGCAUGGGUUUGUUGUUUUUUUUGUAUAAAAACAUGAGUUAUCUUUUGUCAUUCAAGAAAUUUGAUUCGAAA